rnacentral:rRNA from 1 species
UACGUAGGGGGCAAGCGUUGUCCGGAUUUAUUGGGCGUAAAGAGCGUGUAGGCGGCUGGGUAGGUCCGUUGUGAAAACUCGAGGCUCAACCUCGAGACGCCGAUGGAAACCCCCCAGCUAGAGUCCGGAAGAGGAGAGUGGAAUUCCUGGUGUAGCGGUGAAAUGCGCAGAUAUCAGGAAGAACACCCGUGGCUAAGGCGGCUCUCUAGUACGGUACUGACGCUGAGGAGCGAAAGCGUGGGGAGCGAACAGG